CACACGGCCCCCCCGAUCAUGGAUCCGGGCAGUGGCGGCGGCGGCGGCGGCGGCGGCGGCGGCGGGAGCAGCAGCGGC
rnacentral:miRNA from 1 species